GCCUUUGUAUAUUUUGCCAAAAAUGAAAGAAAUAAAAAUCGCUGGAAAUGAUUGGAAUUUGUCUAGGAGAGUCGCCUUUGACCUUCUCUGUCGAAAUUGCGUGCUUCCUGGCCCUCUUACAUCCCGUUUCUUCGACUAAAACUGCCUCUUUGGUUUGUUGCAGGAAGAUCGGCCUGGAGGUGUUUCUGUCCUGGACAUCAGACGUGCAGCGCAUGGAAUCAUCAGAUAUAAGUUGAGUUGGGGUCACAGUGAUAACCGUUGGUCCAGUUUUUUUUUUUACCUCCCUGUUAAUUCACCACCCACAUUGUGGAAGGGUCUAGCGGAGCCGUUCCGCUCAACGCUGUGGAGUCAGCGGACCCCUUGCAUGGGGACAAUACGUGCAACGCGUGACCUCACUGCGUCAAUGAGGGGGCUGGACGUGUCGCCCUGAGCCGUCCAAAAAACCUCCCCUCCCCCUGCCCUCCUCUCGGCUGCGGCUGCUGUGGAGGUAGUAGUGGGCUGCCGCCGCUGCUGCGGGGGCUGUGGGGGUAGUAGUAGUGGUAAUCCUACUGCUGCCACUGCGGCCGCUGCAUCAGAGACGUCUGUGACGUCACUGCGGUAGUUGUGGCUGUCUGCUACUACAUCCACAGUUACUACAGCUUCUAGCUAACUAGGUGUAGGAAAUCAAGUAAAAUGUCAGAUGUAGUGAUUUUCUAUUCUUUAUUGUUUCAAAUCAUUUACAUUAUAAGAGUGGCCAGCAUCAAGUCCAGGCAUAUCCCUAUGGACAAGAACCAGCAUCACUUCCUACUUUACUACGACUGUACCAUACAAAUGAAAUAAAUAGCACCAUUACUGUGA